rnacentral:rRNA from 1 species
GAUGAACGCUGGCGGCGUGCCUAAUACAUGCAAGUCGAGCGAACAGACGAGGAGCUUGCUCCUCUGACGUUAGCGGCGGACGGGUGAGUAACACGUGGAUAACCUACCUAUAAGACUGGGAUAACUUCGGGACACCGGAGCUAAUACCGGAUAAUAUAUUGAACCGCAUGGUUCAAUAGUGAAAGACGGUUUUGCUGUCACUUAUAGAUGGAUCCGCGCCGCAUUAGCUAGUUGGUAAGGUAACGGCUUACCAAGGCGACGAUGCGUAGCCGACCUGAGAGGGUGAUCGGCCACACUGGAACUGAGACACGGUCCAGACGCCUACGGGAGGCAGCAGUAGGGAAUCUUCCGCAAUGGGCGAAAGCUUGACGGAGCAACGCCGCGUGAGUGAUGAAGGUCUUCGGAUCGUAAAACUCUGUUAUUAGGGAAGAACAAAUGUGUAAGUAACUAUGCACGUCUUGACGGUACCUAAUCAGAAAGCCACGGCUAACUACGUG